UUAUUGUACUCUGAUUCACAAACUACCUGGAUUUAGGAAACCAAUUACAUAAAAUUAAGUUUGCUUCGAUUAAUAAAACAAUAGUAACUUCCAAAAAUUAAGAAAUUUUCUUAUUUUAUAAUAAUGUCCCGGUGAAUCUAGAAAAACUAAAGGGUUUUUUUUCUUCAUUCUUCUCAAAUGGAAAGUAUUGCUUUUUGCAAUCCCAUAGCUCCCAAAAAUAAAUUGUUAAAAUUUGUAUAGUUAUGGCAAUCCCAAAUACAGAAAGUCUACUAAAUUGAAUAAUGAUUAAUGACCAUCGAUACUUCCACACAAAAAGAAAGUCAUCAAUUAAACUAAGGCUCUAGUAAUAAAGUUCCAUUAAUCCAGUAAACCCUUAAACUUUUGUGCAGAAUUCUAAAUAUUUUCACUCGUACAUUACAAAUUAAAAGGAAUUUGGGUAAUGUACAAAAAAAUUGAACAAGCUUAUAGUGAUAUCAAAAUCGAGCAAAGCAAGACACAAUAACCCUGUAUAUAACGGCAUAAAUUAUGAGAUUCAAUAAUCAGAAACACGGAUAUUGUAUAAAAAUAACUGAUCACAAUGAGGAAGAAGAACAUUAAUAAAAUUAAUAGAUGUAAUAUUUUGAAAAUUCUGUUUACUAAACAGGCAAAAUUUUGAAAAUUCUGUUUACUAAUAAUAAGGUUCAAUUAAUGAAUUCAUAUUAAUAAGGUUCAGAAUGUAAGCUUCUUUAAUAUAUUAACAGUAAGCAUGUUACGGAGGUGAUUUUAAGGUAAUAAGAAGCUUCAUUGUCGAAAUUUAUGAAGCAUGCAGAGGUUUGUCAAUGCUUGUUUACAUAUAUAUAAAGACAAGUGCAUCCUGUAUAUUCUAAUUACUACAAUGGGAUUUAAAUUCUUAUUACAGAAGCAGGUUGAAGAACUAAUUAAGGGUUAUUACACAAGCAGGUUGCAGCAAAACAGAUCCUGCAAUUGCAAAAUGAAAACAGAUCCUGAAGCAAAUGCAAAUGCAAAUGCAAAUGCAAAACAGAUCCUGCAAAUGCAAAUGAAAAAUGAAAAAUGAAAUCAAAAGCAAAACAGAUCUCAGUGAAUUAUUGUACUCUGAUUCACAAACUACCUGGAUUUAGGAAACCAAUUACAUAAAAUUAAGUUUGCUUCGAUUAAUAAAACAAUAGUAACUUCCAAAAAUUAAGAAAUUUUCUUAUUUUAUAAUAAUGUCCCGGUGAAUCUAGAAAAACUAAAGGGUUUUUUUUCUUCAUUCUUCUCAAAUGGAAAGUAUUGCUUUUUGCAAUCCCAUAGCUCCCAAAAAUAAAUUGUUAAAAUUUGUAUAGUUAUGGCAAUCCCAAAUACAGAAAGUCUACUAAAUUGAAUAAUGAUUAAUGACCAUCGAUACUUCCACACAAAAAGAAAGUCAUCAAUUAAACUAAGGCUCUAGUAAUAAAGUUCCAUUAAUCCAGUAAACCCUUAAACUUUUGUGCAGAAUUCUAAAUAUUUUCACUCGUACAUUACAAAUUAAAAGGAAUUUGGGUAAUGUACAAAAAAAUUGAACAAGCUUAUAGUGAUAUCAAAAUCGAGCAAAGCAAGACACAAUAACCCUGUAUAUAACGGCAUAAAUUAUGAGAUUCAAUAAUCAGAAACACGGAUAUUGUAUAAAAAUAACUGAUCACAAUGAGGAAGAAGAACAUUAAUAAAAUUAAUAGAUGUAAUAUUUUGAAAAUUCUGUUUACUAAACAGGCAAAAUUUUGAAAAUUCUGUUUACUAAACAGGCACUUUUUUGAAACAAAACCCAAUCCAUUAGAAGAAUUUAAUAGAUGCGUACUGUCAACAAAAAGCAGAUCUAGAACCCUUAAAAGAAAUGGCUAUCUCAACGUUGAAAGGAGAAAAGGGAUAUAUGUACAAAUACGUCAAAUGACUUAAAACCUCCGAAAACAGAGAGUAGACUGAACGAAUUUGAGCAGAAAAGCUUACCAGAACUAGAGAUCUGGACACGAUCGAAGCAGAUCGGAGAUCGGAGAUCGAAGCAGAUCGGAGAUCGGGGACACGAUCGAAGCAGAAAACAGAGAGUAGAUUGAGAUCGUAGAUGUAGAGAGAUAGAGAUCGAAGAGAUAGAGAUACGGUUCGAGUGAAGAGAGAGGAUCGGGC
rnacentral:lncRNA from 1 species